ACGCUCGACACCUACGGGAGGCAGCAGUGGGGAAUAUUGCACAAUGGGGGAAACCCUGAUGCAGCGACGCCGCGUGAGCGAAGAAGUAUUUCGGUAUGUAAAGCUCUAUCAGCAGGGAAGAAAAUGACGGUACCUGACUAAGAAGCCCCGGCUAACUACGUGCCAGUAGCCGCGGUAAUCUGAGCGGGCUGGCAAGGC
rnacentral:rRNA from 1 species